rnacentral:rRNA from 1 species
CCAGACUCCUACGGGAGGCAGCAGUGGGGAAUAUUGCACAAUGGGCGGAAGCCUGAUGCAGCAACGCCGCGUGCGGGAUGACGGCCUUCGGGUUGUAAACCGCUUUCGCCUGUGACGAAGCGUGAGUGACGGUAAUGGGUAAAGAAGCACCGGCUAACUACGUGCCAGCAGCCGCGGUGAUACGUAGGGUGCGAGCGUUGUCCGGAUUUAUUGGGCGUAAAGGGCUCGUAGGUGGUUGAUCGCGUCGGAAGUGUAAUCUUGGGGCUUAACCCUGAGCGUGCUUUCGAUACGGGUUGACUUGAGGAAGGUAGGGGAGAAUGGAAUUCCUGGUGGAGCGGUGGAAUGCGCAGAUAUCAGGAGGAACACCAGUGGCGAAGGCGGUUCUCUGGGCCUUUCCUGACGCUGAGGAGCGAAAGCGUGGGGAGCGAACAGGCUUAGAUACCCGGGUAGUCCACGCUGUAAACGGUGGGUACUAGGUGUGGGGUCCAUUCCACGGGUUCCGUGCCGUAGCUAACGCUUUAAGUACCCCGCCUGGGGAGUACGGCCGCAAGGCUAAAACUCAAAGGAAUUGACGGGGGCCCGCACAAG